rnacentral:rRNA from 1 species
AGCAGCCGCCGCGGGAAUACGAAGGGUGCAAGCGUUACUCGGAAUUACUGGGCGUAAAGUGUGCGUAGGUGGUGGUUUAAGUCCGUUGUGAAAGCCCUGGGCUCAACCUGGGAAUUGCAGUGGAUACUGGGUCACUAGAGUGUGGUAGAGGAUAGUGGAAUUUCCGGUGUAGCAGUGAAAUGCGUAGAGAUCGGGAGGAACAUCAGUGGCGAAGGCGGCCAUCUGGGACAACACUGACGCUGAGGCACGAAAGCGUGGGGAGCAAACAGGAUUAGAUACCCCGGUAGUCCCUGUCUCUUAUAC